AGCAGCCGCGGUAAUUCCAGCUCCAAUAGCGUAUAUUAAAGUUGUUGCAGUUAAAAAGCUCGUAGUUGAAUUUCGGGAUUGACGUGAUGGUCAUGCCUUAAGGGGUAUGAACUGUUACAGUUGAUUUCUCACCUUCUGGAGAAACUUGAUGUCCUUUAUUGGGUGUCUUGCGGAUCCAGGACCUUUACCUUGAAAAAAAUUAGAGUGUUUAAAGCAGGCAUUUUUGCUCGAAUACAUUAGCAUGGAAUAAUAGAAUAGGACGGCAUGGUUCUAUUUUGUUGGUUUCUAGGAUCACCGUAAUGAUUAAUAGGGAUAGUUGGGGGCAUUAGUAUUCAAUUGUCAGAGGUGAAAUUCUUGGAUUUAUUGAAGACUAACUACUGCGAAAGCAUUUGCCAAGGAUGUUUUCACUAAUCAAGAACGAAAGUUAGGGGAUCGAAGACGAUCAGAUACCGUCGUAGUCUUAACCAUAAACUAUGCCGACUAGGAAUCAGACGAUGUUAAUUUUUAAUGACUCGUUUGG
rnacentral:rRNA from 1 species